AUGGGACGGCCAAUGACAAGUAUGGAGAAGGCUCCAUAUGAAGUUCUAAGCAAGAGGACUAGGUUUUGCAUAAUUUGCAGAAAGCAAGGGCAUAAGCGAACUACAUGCCCUGACCCUGGUGAUGUCCCCAAGCAACCUUCGAAGCCUGCCAAAUGCAAGAACUAUGGCGUCGAGGGGCACCGACGAAAUCAUUGUAAUAAAGCAAUGGAACUAAGGCUGGCACCUGGCAAAUGGAAUGUAGAAGCUGAUGUGGCUCAUGAUGUCUUUCAGUUAUCUUAUUUGCUAUUGAGGCAUAUGAAUGUAAAACCUUGGCCUGUUGGUGCAGCGGGAGUGGCUGAAUUGUUCUGA
rnacentral:rRNA from 1 species